CCUAUCUCUGUUAACAAACAACCAGAAGAGCAUGUAAUGUUAUAUGGAAGAGAUUCAAAACAGACAAAGAUGUUUUCCAGUACAAGAAAAAAGAUGCACCUUUCAAGAACAAACUUCCCUUCUUUAUACUUCUGGCUUUCCUCGUGCGCAGCCUCCUGCAUGAAGAGUGCUAGUUGUAAACAAAAUUUCCGGUGUAGGUAAAUCAUGCAUAUGCAAUUGGUAACACAUUUAUAUGGCUAGAGGAGUAACUAUUUCUCUCCUCUUUUUGUGUGUGUGUUUGUUAUGCAAUUGGUAACACAUUUAUAUGGCUAGAGUAACUAUUUCUCUCCUCUUUUUGUGUGUGUGCUUGUUUUGGUGUCUAUGUCUACAUGUAUGAGGAGAGACAGAGAGAGAACGAAAGGGAAUACAUAUUUCCAGCCAACAAUUUGCCCACAACAGCAACAAAAUAUAUCUGCUACCGUGUGCAUCCCAGAAAGCAUCACCCUCUCCUCCUGAGGUCCAAUAGUUACGUUCACCCUGAAUCACAAAGUCAAGCGGAUCCAGUCAGACCUCUGCAUACAUAUCAAAUGGAGUACAAUUGCAAAGAGUUGGUAAGCUUCAACUCAACAGCCAUGUUCAAUGCACAAAAUCAAGUUUCCGAAUGCUGAUGUUUGGUGCCUUCAAGUGGUAAGGUGUUUCGUUUAACUGGAGACCUUAUUACAAGAUAGCCAGAAACAUAAUUCAUACGGUUGUUUAAGGAGGAACGUAUAUCAGUUGGAUAAUGUUUCUUAUUUGGUAUCUCUCUCCCCUUCUCUUUUGGAAUAAAGUCUUCUUUCGUUUCUUCUGAAUUACUGGAGCAAGCAUGUUAUGUGAAGAUUAGAAAUCCUUUUGUGCAAUUGAAACUAGAAAUCUUUUUCUUUCCUUUUUCAGAAAGGAGAAAAUGUGCCUUUCUUAGAAAAGAAGAUUAGCUGUGAACUGCUUGAAAUGAGGUUAUAUUGUUAUU